CUUAUUCUUGUUGACAUUUCCAGAACUGCGUCUUUCCAACUCUCUUACCUAUAUUUCUGAUCGAUCUUAACCCUUCUUCUUUCUUAGGGUCCAUUAAACAUGCUUCUUUUUUAUAUAUGUUAUGUAUUUCUUACAUCAGUUUUUGCCUCUUUUAGCACUAAUCUGGGCAAUUGGCCUUCCAGGUAUGUGUUCUCGUUUAUUUUUACAGCUUCUCGUGCUACUGCGUGUGCGGUUUUCUUCCCGUUUCUGCAAGUCUGUCUAAACCAGCAUCUGUGAUAAUUUUUGCAUAAUACUUUUAUAUCAGAGAUAUAUUGACUUAAGACUGAUUUAUCUUUAUCAUUGCUUUUCACUUUCUUCAUUAUGCUGAGAGUGUCUACUUCCAUUACCACCCGUCUAAACCCCAGGUCAAGGCCCGCUUUCAUUGCUUGUAAGCACACUAAUGCCUCUACUGCAAAUGGUGUGGGGACUCUUUUAUGUUACCAUUUUUCGACAGUUUAACAUCUUCCCACUCGAAUCCUAGCAUACUAUUCCUGUUCCUGAUUUGGAAUUUUGUUUGUCAAAAGCCCCGUCAAAAUUUAUUUUUAUUUCUGAUGGGUCUGGUGGUUUCCACCGUUCAUUUUCCACUCUCUGUCCAAGCAGCCUUUUAUUCACCUCUUCCCAUUCAUUUAAGUAUUUGCUUAUAAACAUUACAGUGUCUUCUACUAAUUGGGUUUUUUUUCUCAUGCAGGAUCUUAUUCCUCUGCAUCCAUAUUGCCCAGAUACUUCAAAAUAUAACUUUCCUUUGAGCACUAGUCGCUCUGCUUGGCAAUCUCUAAAGGCAUCUUCCAUGGAUUCUUCCAUUUCACUACAGCAUGGGCACAUAACAUGGUUGCAUAUUCGUUUGUAAUGUAGAUUUCCCAUUGUAGGAAAUUAACCAUUGUACACCCUCUAGUUUGUAAUUUUUAUUUUUCCUGGUAGAUCUGUUUGCCAAAGCUCUUUUUGGAAGAACGUAUUUAUAUCUGUAAUAUUUGUCGUCGUAGUGUUUAAGGUUGAUCUUUCCUUUGUAAGCCAUCUGUAGCCACUCCUCAUUGUAUAUUCCCUUGUUUGUUCCCCACUACAAAUUCUGAAGUCUUCCUACGAAUACUUUUCCAACGAAGUACUUAAUAUUGCGUUCA